UAAUAGAUUCAACUACAAAUGUAUGAUUGAUUCUAGCCAUUGAACUAUAAAUAUAGUAAAUAUUGUUAUAUAUCUAUCAUUCAUUAAUGAAUUGUGAAAGAUUUGACUGAUUUUCUCCAACGAAUUAUAUUUUAACAAAACAUUGAGUAUAUCCAGGUAUGCGUGUAGCGAACUUUCCCGGCGGGAAAAAAGAAAAAAAAAACGACGACAUGAAUCAGCAAGGUCAACCCCCGGUAGCAGAGUCCCGAAGACUUUCCUGCCUACUUCUUCCGAGAGCACAUGUUGCUGGACAUGGCCCGUAAACAAAUAUCAGGGUGUUCGAUAUCCGGGCGGAACUGGUGGUGCUGCCGAAGCCAAACUGGAUCACCUGGACAAUCUAGGCGGGAGUUCCUUUGCCGUGAGACCCCGAUCAAUCAAAAGGAACCGAGGAUCGGCUGGUGACGUCAUGAAUCGACAGCAGAGUCGAAGACCUCCCUUCCUCCUUCUUCCGAGAGCACAUAUUGCUAGACAUGGCCCGUAAACAAAUGUCAAGGUGUUCGUUAUCGGGGCGGAACUGGUGGUGCUGCCGAAGCCAAACUGGAUCACCUGGACAAUCUAGGCGAGAGUUCCUUUGCCGUGAGACCCCGAGCAAUCAACCGGAACCGGGGAUAGGAUAGUGUUUAUAGUAGAGUUUAAAAAAAUAAU